rnacentral:rRNA from 1 species
UACAGAGGGUGCUAGCGUUGUUCGGAAUCAUUGGGCGUAAAGGGCGUGUAGGCGGUUUGUUAAGUCAUGUGUGAAAUCCCGAGGCUCAACCUCGGGUCUGCAGUCGAUACGAGCAAACUAGAGUGUUGCAGGGGAGACUGGAAUUCCUGGUGUAGCGGUGAAAUGACGCAGAUAUCAGGAGGAACACCGGUGGGCGAAGGCGGGUCUCUGGG